GCGGGGGAAGGUAGCUUGCUACUGGACCUAGCGGCGGACGGGUGAGUAAUGCUUAGGAAUCUGCCUAUUAGUGGGGGACAACAUCUCGAAAGGGAUGCUAAUACCGCAUACGUCCUACGGGAGAAAGCAGGGGAUCUUCGGACCUUGCGCUAAUAGAUGAGCCUAAGUCGGAUUAGCUAGUUGGUGGGGUAAAGGCCUACCAAGGCGACGAUCUGUAGCGGGUCUGAGAGGAUGAUCCGCCACACUGGGACUGAGACACGGCCCAGACUCCUACGGGAGGCAGCAGUGGGGAAUAUUGGACAAUGGGGGGAACCCUGAUCCAGCCAUGCCGCGUGUGUGAAGAAGGCCUUAUGGUUGUAAAGCACUUUAAGCGAGGAGGAGGCUACUUUAGUUAAUACCUAGAGAUAGUGGACGUUACUCGCAGAAUAAGCACCGGCUAACUCUGUGCCAGCAGCGGCCGGUAAUAAA
rnacentral:rRNA from 1 species